rnacentral:rRNA from 1 species
AUCUAAGUGAGGUGAGAAUCCUCAUCGUCGAAAGGGCAAGGGUUCCUUGGCGCUAGUCGUUAGCCAAGGGUUAGUCGGUCCUAAGUCUGAAUCCUAACCGAUUUAGACGAAAGGGAAACUGGUUAAUAUUCCAGUACCUUGCAAACACGUUAUCAUCUAUAUGAUUUGCUUCUAGAUAGGGAGUGUAGAACCAUCGUUUUAUCUAACUGUUCAAGAUUCAGGGAGUGUCGUAAUGACGAGAACUGAUUUGAGGCAGGAAUGGCUUUGCGUUAGCAGAGUUUUCCCAAAUCCAGGAGACCUUGAAAGCUCGUAUAGAAAGUGUUUGUCAAGAUCGUACCGAGAACCGACACAGGUGCGCUGGCUUAGAAAGCUAAGGUGCUACGGGUAUACCGUAUGGCGAGGGAAUUCGGCAAAUUAGUCCUGUAGCUUCGGUAUAAGGGAUGCCUGCUGUUUUAAUGAGGAAUUGGGACAGCAGGUUGCAAUGACUAGGGGGUUCCGACUGUUUAAUAAAAACACAGGUGACUGCUAGUCCGAAAGGAUUUGUAUAGUCACUGAAUCCUGGCCGGUGCAGGUACCUAAAACUUGGGUUCAACCGAGCUAAGGGCCUGUUAACGCCGGGAGUAACUCUGACUCUCUUAAGGUAGCCAAAUGCCUUGUCGGGUAAGUUCCGACGCGCAUGAAUGGAACAACGAGAGCCCCACUGUCCCCGCCUACAACCCGGUGAAGCCACAUAAGGUGGACGAACAGUCCAUCAUCUUCCAUCGGGGAGAGAAGACCCCGUGGAGUUUUACUGCAGCUUGUGCUUGUAGUAUAGUAAGAAUUACAUAGUGUAUCUGGUAGCCAUGCCUGAAUUUCUUUGGGAAUUCAGUGAAGCGACGAUGUAACACCAGAUUAUUCUUGCAGUACUUCUUAUCUGAUGCAAAUCAGAAACAGGUGCUGGUAGGCAGUUCGGCUGGGGCGGCACCCCUUUGAAAAGAUAUCAAAGGGGCCCAAAGUUUAGUUCAAACGGGUCAGAAAUCCGUUGAAGAGGGCAAAGCCAAAAACUAGACUGACAGGAUUUCCAAACGCACGGAAUUCUGAGACGAAAGUCUGGCUUAGCGAUCCUUCGUGUGCCCACUAUUGGGGCCCGGAGGUGACAGAAAAAUUACCCCAGGGAUAACAGGCUCGUCGCGGGCGAGAGCUCCUAUCGACCCCGCGGUUUGGUACCUCGAUGUCGGCUUUUCCUAUCCUGGCUCUGCAGCAGGGGCCAAGGGUGAGGCUGCUCGCCUAUUAAAAGGAAACAUGAGCUGGGUUUAGACCGUCGUGAGACAGGUCGGUCUCUGCCCGUUCUCUUAUACACUUCUGAU